rnacentral:lncRNA from 1 species
UGACCCCAACCAUGUCACCCAUUGACCCCAACCAUGUCACCCAUUGUCCCCAGCAGCGUCACCCAUCGGGUGUCCCCAACAGUGUCACCCAUUGUCCCCAACCAUGUCACCCACUGUCCCCAACAGUGUCACCCAUUGGGUGUCCCCAACAGCGUCACCCAUUGACCCCAGCCAUGUCACCCAUUGUUGUCCCCAACAGCGUCACCCAUUGACCCCAACACUGUCACCCAUCGGGUGUCCCCAACAAUGUCACCCAUUGACCCCAACCAUGUCACCCAUUGUCCCCAACAGCGUCACCCAUUGGUUGUCCCCAGCAGUGUCACCCAUUGUCCCCAACCAUGUCACCCAUUGUCCCCAACAGCGUCACCCAUUGACCCCAACCAUGUCACCCAUUGUCCCCAACAGCACCACCCAUUGUCCCCAACAGCGUCACCCAAUGUUGUCCCCAACAAUGUCACCCAUUGUCCCCAACACUGUCACCCAUUGUCCCCAACAGCAUCACCCACUGGUUGUC